UUCCCUGACAGGACAGAUGUUGUAUCUCAGUGGGACCUUCUUGGUGAAAUAAAGGAUAAAACAAAUGAAUUGUAUAAUAAAAUAAUUAAAAUAAUAUGAUAAAACAAAGCAAACGUGCAAAAUACAACUAUAAAAGAUUGCAGAAAGGCUAAACCGAAAAAACUGAGAAAACAAAAAAAUGAAAUUAAAUGAAUCCUGCGCAGUUCACUGUUUGCAAAUGUGAAAGUUUAUAAAUAAAGUUGGGUGGAAAAAAUGGAGGAAAUCGCCCUUUAGUGAAAUGUCGGGUGUUUACCUCGCUCCUUCAAAAUGUCACAUUCUGGUUGCUGAAAUAAAAUAUUUGGUUUUGAUUUAAACAGUUUUAAUGUGAACCUUUUAGACACGAGUCUAAAGGUCUAAACACGAGUCUAAAUGUGGAGUAAAACCGAACCGGAAAAAGAUCCUUCCUUUCACUUCCGGUUGUGGAGCAGGAGGAGUCACAGGGGGGAGGGGUCGGCCGGACUCCCUCCGAACACCGCCGAUCUCUUCCGAAGCUCCUGCACCGGCUGCUGUUCGUCCUCCUCGCACCUCCACCGCCUGACACCAUUUCCACCAUGAUGGACAUUUUGAUGCUGAUGUUUUUCGCCAUCAUGGGCCUCGUCUUCCUCUCCUACAUCAUCUACAUGCUGUGAGGAGGAGCAGGAGGAGGAUGAAGAAGGAGGAUGAAGAACAUGGGCGCACACGGGAUGUUGUGUUCCUCCUGCAUCCCUGGUGUCCGGACAAUGGAAGAGGAGCCAGGGCCAUGAUGGGUUCCCAUCAGUGCUCUCAGGUGGGAUGUGAGGAGUGAUCCAGCGGAAGUGAGGGAGCAGGGGAGGCCAAACUCUCUUUCCUCUCUUUUUCUAUAUUUCCCACUUGCACUAUGUCAUCCCUCCAUCCUCCAGAGGACCGGUCCAGUCCGAGGAGACUCCCCUGACUUCCUCUUCAAUGGACCCAACUCGUUUUUCUAUCCAGACUGUGUUUUAUCUGUGGAGGAGGAGACGUGUCACCUCCCCACCAGUCCAAGAAUACCAGUCUGAGUCUGGAAUUUGCCUUUUUUCACGACAAUGUGAGCGAAUUAUCGCUUCCACGUCAUGUGCAUGUGAGUUUAACAGUAUUAUCCCUGUGUGGCCAACACCUCUGCACUCAUGGCUUUAUUUGUAUCAAGUGUGUGUUUCAUCAAUUGUCUCAGCCUUGACGUCAGUGUUAAUAUUAUUUCCUCUGUGUUGCCACAAUACGUGCUCCUCCUCACUACAAUCAAGGUUUCCCAUCACGGGGGGGAGCGUCAGUGCAAUAACUCAGUGAAGAGAUCACAGCAUAUCACCUCUUCUGUUGAAACGUUUAUGUUGCUGUUAUUCAGUUUGUCUUAAUAUUAUAUACAGAAUAUAUAUAUAUUUAUGUUGUUUUUGGCUGCAAAUGACACGUAUGAAGAGCAGCGCUGUCAUUUCAGAAACGUGUUUCUCAUUCUUAUCACCAAAUCUCAAAUAUAUAUUAUGUUCUUCAGGAUUUUAAUGAUGUUCAGUUUAUUGAUGCACUGAUUAUUGACAGUGUGUGAUGUUGAAUAAAGAUGAUUUCAGUAAA